GACGAACGCUGGCGGCGUGCUUAACACAUGCAAGUCGAACGGUGAAAGCGGAGCUUGCUCCGCUGGAUCAGUGGCGAACGGGUGAGUAACACGUGGGCAACCUGCCCCUCACUUCGGGAUAACUCCGGGAAACCGGGGCUAAUACCGGAUAUGACCUCCUUGGGCAUCCUUGGAGGUGGAAAGUUUUUCGGUGAGGGAUGGGGCCGCGGGCCUAUCAGGUUGUUUGUGAGGUAGUGGCUCACCAAGGCGACGACGGGUAGCCGGCCUGAGAGGGCGACCGGCCACACUGGGACUGAGACACGGACCAGACUCCUACGGGAGGCAGCAGUGGGGAAUAUUGCGCAAUGGGCGAAAGCCUGACGCAGCAACGCGGCGUGCGGGAUGACGGCCUUCGGGUUGUAAACCGCUUUCAGCAGGGAAGAAGCCGCAAGGUGACGGUACCUGCAGAAGAAGCACCGGCUAACUACGUGCCAGCCGCCGCGGUAA
rnacentral:rRNA from 1 species